AUCUUGUGAGCAUCUGGGCCAAGUUCAGGGCUGGUGCUCUCGUUCAGAUAGAUUUAGCUGGUGGUGCAGAGAUCCGUGAGCUUGCUUUUACAGGACUUUAAUGAUAUAUAAAAGCAGCACGAGGUGCUCCUGACUGUGGAUUAAUUUGGAGAUGACUUUCUCUGUUGAAGAGUAGCAAGACUCUCGCGAGUUCUUAAAAAUGCACUUGUUUGGUAUGAGAAUGAAAAGCAGUGGCUGAAGAACCAAUCUUCAAUGGGCAAGCCUUCUCUGGGUCUUGCUCCGUCACCGAGUCUGGAGUGCAGUGGUAUGAUUAUGGCUUACUUGAACUUCUGGGCUCAAGCAAUCCUCCCACCUCAGCCUCCAGAAUAGCUGGGACUAUAAGUGUGGAUCAUCAACCCUGGCUAAUUUUUUGAUUUUUUAUAGAGACGAGGUCUCACCAUGUUGCCCAGACAAGUCUUUAACUCCUGGGCUCAAGCAAUCCUCCCACCUCAGCCUCCUAAAGUGCCGGGAUUACAGGCAUGAGCCACUGUGCCUGACUUCCAGAUUUGCAUCUUAAAGGGCUGUUCCAUUGAAUGUCUGUUCUAACACGUGCCAUUUGGGAUCCCUUGGAAUCUUCAUGUACAGAACUGGUUGCUGCCUCGUUGAGUCGGUGGGGACAGAAUAGCUCCUGGUUGACAGCAUGGGUUGUGCAGAAGGACGGAUCCUGCAGACAUCAAUAUCUGGCUUUGAGUGGCACAAAGAAAUAAAGGAAUGUGGAUUCAGACCUCACUGGGAUGCUUGGCAAUUCUAAUUCUACCCCAGACUGCAAAUGGACACACAACUGUUGUGACUUUUGUUGAAGAGGAGAAGGAUGGGUGAGCAUGUGACGUUGGGAAAUUGUAUUUUCUUCUUCGAGUUCUUCUGUUUCCGAAUAUUUAAUCCUACUGUUUUCUUCUUUAGUGAAGGUCUCUUUAGUCAAUAAUCUCUUUGCUGAAAUUGCUUCGGGCAGCACAGAAGCUGGAUUCAGAAGCACACAGGUCUGGGGAUGCAGGCUUCGGCCAGCCUGAUGCAAGGAAAGACUGCCAUCUCGUGGUCAGCUCAAUCCUGGCACCUUGGUGAGGGACCAGGCUGCAGAAAACCAGGCUUGGGGAGGAAACGGUGCUGCAAACUGGAUUUCUGCCGGACAGUGUGGAUGCCCUUAGAAAACACCCAGAAAAGAGCUGAGUGCCCCCCAAGGCUGUUUCCCAUAUAAGGUUCAUGACCCCCAGUGAGGAUGAAACUGCCUGCAAGGUUUGUCUUCUCUCCUGUUCACUGGUUACUCAGCCAGGCUGAUUCAUGGGCUUCUCAAAGGAGCUUGUUUAUCAGAAGCUUGUCUAAGACACCACGUCUUCCAGAAAAUCUCACCUGAGUCACCAACAGAUUCCUCUAAGAGUCUGUAAGCCACUCCUGACCAGCAGGAAACCCCAACAGAGGCAAAGAAUAGGAAAUUAAAUAUUUCGUCAAGAAAAAAUGAGAGGCUGGGUGCGGUGGCUCAUGCCUAUAUCCCAGCACUUUAGGAGGCCUAAGCGGGCGGAUCAUUUGAGGUCAGGAGUUUGAGACCAGCCCGGCCAACAUGGUGAAACCCUGUCUCUACUAAAAAUACAAAAACAAUUAGCUGGGCAUGGUGGUGGGUGCUUGUAAUCCCAGCUACUGGGGGAGGCUGAGGCGGGAGAAUCGCUGAAACCCAGGAGACAGAAGUUGCUGUGAGCCGAGACCACACCACUGCACUCCAGCCUGGGUGAGAGUGAGACUGUCUCAAAAAAAAAAAAAAAAAAAAAAAAAAAGCAAGAAAGCUCCCAUUUAGAUCACUCGGACAAAAGAUUUCUUUUUGUGCCAAAAUGUUCCACUAGGCUUCCAGUUUUUACCACAUAACUUGACAGUCAUGCAAGACUUAAGUGUAUUUUCAGCUAUCCUUUCUCUUUCAUUUAUUUCUGUUUAAUAAGCUCUGUCCAUUGAUUCUAGUUAGUACAUUAUAUAUCUUUUUAAUCACUUACCUGCAGUGAGCAUCUUUCCAUGUUGGUAAAUACCGGUGCUACUACUGUUACUACUGAGUACUUAUUCCAUGUCAAAUCCUCUGCCAAGCAUUUUCAAGCAUUGUCUCAUUGCCUUCUUGCCACAACCCUAUGAAGAGGCCGUGACUGUCCUCAUCCAAUGGAGGAGGAAGCUAAGGCUGAGAGCAAUUAACACAGCUGUGAGUGAACAGGUAGGAUUUAAAGCCAGGCAGUAUGAUUCCGGAGCCUACGCUUUUAAUCACUGUUAUUUUACUCUCCUCCACUCCCCAAAUAUACUGCAUUUUUUUUGUGUGAUUGUAUUGUAUUAUUCUGUUCUAGAUGUACUAUGAUUGAUUUCGUCCAUGCUGUAAUUACACUUCGGUUGGUUUUAGUUUUCACUACUACAAAUGGUGUUGCAACGAACGUCUUUGUGGGCAAAUCUUUACAGGUCAUGAAUGACCCUUUCCUUAGGACACAUAUUGCCAAGCUGAUCUCCACAAAGGUAGUACACGCCCAUCAUAUUGUACAAAAGUAUUCUUUGCCCUCCACCCUUGACACUGGGUUGCAUCUAUUUUUUAAUUAUUGCUGUUAGGAUAGAAGAACAAGGCUGACACAUUGUUGUUUCAGUUUGUAAGCUAGAACACUUCAUUGCACAUUAGCUGUAUUCCUUAGGUGUAUUUCUUGUUCAUGUCCUUUGCCCUCUGAGGUUUGUCUCUUUAUCACAGAUUUGAGAACUUUUUGUAUAUGUCUUAUAUUUUUAGAAUUAAUAAAUUUAGGGCAUAAACCCAAUAGAAAGAAAAACAGACUCAUUCUGUGUUUUGCAUAGCAUCUUACCUCCUAUCCUUCCUCCACAUUGAUAGUAAAGCAUAAGAAAUGAUUCCUGUGCCCAGAGGUUGAAAGCAGGUCCAUUUUAACAAAGUCACUUGGAAGCAUCCCCUUUCUCCAAA
rnacentral:lncRNA from 1 species